UACGGAGGGUACAAGCGUUAUCCGGAUUCACUGGGUUUAAAGGGUGCGUAGGAGGGCAGGUAAGUCAGUGGUGAAAUCUCCAAGCUUAACUUGGAAACUGCCGUUGAUACUAUCUGUCUUGAAUACCGUGGAGGUGAGCGGAAUAUGUCAUGUAGCGGUGAAAUGCUUAGAUAUGACAUAGAACACCAAUUGCGAAGGCAGCUCGCUACACGAAUAUUGACUCUGAGGCACGAAAGCGUGGGGAUCAAACAGG
rnacentral:rRNA from 1 species